rnacentral:rRNA from 1 species
UACAGAGGUCUCAAGCGUUGUUCGGAUUCAUUGGGCGUAAAGGGUGCGUAGGCGGCGCGGUAAGUCGGAUGUGAAACCCCCAGGCUCAACCUGGGGACGCCACCCGAUACUGCUGUGACUAGAGUCCAGUAGGGGAGUGUGGAAUUCCCGGUGUAGCGGUGAAAUGCGCAGAUAUCGGGAAGAACACCUAUGGCGAAGGCAGCUCUCUGGGACGGUACUGACGCUGAGACGCGAAAGCGUGGGGAGCGAACAGG